UACGUAGGGUGCGAGCGUUGCCCGGAUUUAUUGGGCGUAAAGGGCGCGUAGGCGGCCACGCACGUCCGUUGUGAAAUCGCCCGGCUCAACUGGGCGGGGUCAGCGGAUACGGUGUGGCUAGAGCAAGCUAGGGGGCAAUGGAAUUCCCGGUGUAGUGGUGGAAUGCGUAGAUAUCGGGAGGAACACCAGUGGCGAAGGCGGUUGCCUGGAGCUUUGCUGACGCUGAUGCGCGAAAGCGUGGGGAGCGAUCAGG
rnacentral:rRNA from 1 species